CUCCAUUGCCCCAAAGGACAUUCGCUUGGGUCAUGAGCACAGAGUUGCCAGUGUGGAACAUUGCAAUGCUGAUGAUGCCAUGGUAAAUUAUGACAGAUACCAGGAAAAUCAUCACCACACAGAGCUGGGGGCCAGGAGAGAGGGCUGUCAGAGCUGGAGAGUGGACUGCCAGGGUUCCAGUGCACCCACCCUGGAGGAGCCAGUCCUUCCAGAGCAAAGGCCCAGUGUCCCCUCACCACAGUGAGGAUGGCUGCAGAGCUGGUGAGUAGGUGGGAAAGGCAGCUGUGCGGUUGGAAGUAGGGCUCCUUCAAGCCUGUCACUGGGUUCUGGGUCAUCUGCAGGGCCAGGGCAGCAAACUGUAGAUGUGGGCACUCCUAUCACAGGGGGCAACAGAAAUGUGCAUCCUAGGGCCAAGAGGCUGGUGCCAUGAUCCUAGGCUAGGGGAAGCCCCCCACCUUUUCCUGACUGCAGAGGGAGCUCUGGAAGUGCAGCAAUGGGUUCUAAUUCAUUUUUGGUUUUGCAGGACCUUUUUCCCCAGGGCAUGGUUAAAAGCAUGUGGAUGGAUGGCUAGAUGGAUGGUGGGUAGACGGAGAAGUAAACAGCAAAUGAGUGGACAUGUGGAAAAGGGAUAGAUAGACAGAUGAGUGAGCAGGCAGUAGGCCGACAAAUGGGCAGGUAAACUAGGCAAGCAAUCAGUAAAUUUCUAUAGUUUAUUCACAAGUAAGUGAGUAGACAGGCAGGUGGGUGGAGGGAUGGAUGGAUGGCCAGGUGAGUGAGCAGAUGAAAGUCUGGUUGGAUGGUUGAUGGACAUGAGGAUGGAUGGAUAGAUGGAUGGAUGGAUGAAUGGGGGGAUGGAUGGAUGAAUGGAGGAUAGACAGAUAGCUAGGUGGGUGAGCGAUGAAAGUCUGGUUGGAUGGUUGAGGAUUGAUGAAUGGAUGGAUGAAUGGAGGAUGGCUGGAUGAUUAGGUGGGUGAGCAGAUGAAAGUUUGGUGGGAUGGCUGAUGGACAUGGGGAUAUUUGGAUGAAUGGAUGAGUGGGAUGGGUGCAUGGAUGGAUAAAUGGAUAAAUUUAUUAGUUUAGUCAAUAGCUAUUAACCAUGUACCACUCUGCAAUAGAUACUGAAUAUGCCAUAGUGAACAAACUGGAGAAGAUCCAUGCCCUAAUGAAGUUUACAAACUAGUUUGUGAGACAGGUUAAAUGAAUGAACAGAGACAUAUAUAUAUGUCCUAUGAAGGAAAACUUUUUCAUGGAUGGUCUGAAGAAAUGACACUUUAGCUAUGACCCAAAAGGUGAAAAGGUGCUAAAGGGACAGUGGAGAGAAGCUUUCUGGGGAGGGAACAGUGGGUGCAAAGGCAGGGCCACUCUUUUUUUUUUUCUUUUUCUUUUUUUUUUUUUUUUUUGAGACAGUUUCACUCUGUCCCCCAGGCUGGAGUGCAGUGGCACGAUCUUGGCACAUUACAACCUCCUCCUCCCAGAUUCAAACAAUUCUCGUGCCUCAGCCUCUCGAGUAGCUGGGAUUACAGGUGUGCACUACCACACCCAGAUAAUUUUUGUAUUUUUAGUAGACAUGGGGUUUCCCUAUGUUGGCCAAGCUGGUCUUGAACUCCUGACCUCAAAUGAUCCACCCUCCUCAGCCUCUCAAAGUUCUGGAAUUACAGGCAUGAGCCACUGUGCCUGGCACUAAGUUUUGUAUUUUUAGUAGAGAUGGGGUUUUGCCAUGUUGGCCAGGGUGGUCUCGAACUCCUGCCCUCAAGUGAUCUGCCUGCCUCAGCCUCCCAAAGUGCUGGGAUUACAGGAAUAAACUACUGUGCCCAGCCCGCUCUUUUUAAAUUAAAUUAAAUUAAUUAUUUUUUUUGAGACAGAGUCUCACUCUGUUGCCCAGGCUGGAGUGCAAUGGCACGAUCUCGGCUCACUGCAAUCUCCGCCUCCUGGGUUUAAGCGAUUCUCAUGUCUCAGCCUCCCAAGUAGCUAGGAUUACAGGCACAUGCCACAAUGCUGGGCUUAUUUAUUUAUUUAUUUAUUUAUUUAUUUAUUUAUUUAUUUUGAGACGGAGCCUCGCUCUGUCACCAGGCUGGGCUCACUGCAACCUUCGCCUCCCGGGUUCAAGCAAUUCUCCUGCCUGAGUCUCUCGAGUAGCUGGGACCAGAGGCGCGUGCCACCACGCCCAGCUAAUUUUUGUAUUUUUAGUUGAGACGGGGUUUCAGCACAUUAGCCAGAUGGUCUCAAUCUCUUGACCUUGUGAUCCACCCACCUUGGCCUCCCAAAGUGCUAGGAUUACAGAUGUGAACCACCGCGCCCAGCCGGGGCUAAUUUUUGUAUUUUUAGUCGAGAUGGAGUUUUGCCAUGUUGGUCAGGCUGGUCUUAAACUCUUGGCCUCAAGUGAUCCGCUUGCUUCAGCCUCUCAAAGUGCUGGGAUUAUAGGCAUCAGCCACCGUGCAUGGCCAAUUUCAAUUUUAAUUUAAUUCUUAAUAUAUUUUUUAGCGACAAGGUCUUGUUCUGUCACCCAGGCUGGAGUGCAGUGGCACAAUCAUAGCUCACAGCAGCCCCAAACUCCUGGCCCCAAGUGAUUCUCCUGCCUCAGCCUACUGAGUAGCUGGGACUACAGAUACAUGCCACUGCACCCAGCUAAUUUUUUAUUUUUUAGUAGAGAGAAAGUCUCACUAUGUUGCUGAGGCUGAUCUUGAAUUCCUGGGCUCAAGUGAUCCUCCUGCCUCAGCCACCCAAAGGGCUGGGAUUACAGGUGUGAGCCACUGUGCCCGGGCCAGGGCCACUCUUUAAAGUUACCUGAGUUAUGUACUGCACUAUCCAAAGGGUACCACUGACAUUUACUUCGUUGCCUCAGUGUUCCCUUUCUGCUUUUUCAGUCCCCCAGCACCUGUUUAACCAAUACCUUAUAUAUUAAAUUAUCUCUGUUAAAAUAUCUUGUUUGGUUUUCUAUCUUCCUAUAACCCUGUUGAAUGGAUAAAGUGAUGGAUGGCUGGACAAAUGGGUAGGCAGAAGAUAGAUUAUUCACAGAUUCACUCAACAAACAUUUAUGGAGCAUCUUCUAUGUGCUAGAGACUAUUCUGGGCACUGGGGUACAGCAGCCAACAUCACACAUAAGGUCUCUGCUCUCAUGGAGCUCACACGCCAGUGGGAGAAGACAGAUAAUAAACAAACAAACCAUAAAAUACAGUGAUGAAUGCUGCAAUUAAAUUAAAACAGUGACAGGGCACCUCUCUGGAUUAGUGAUCAGGGAAGACCUCUCUAGGAAGGAGAUAUUUGAGACUUGAAUGACAAGGAGUAGGCCACAUAAGAUCUGAAGGGGCUGGGCGUGGUCGCUCAUGUCUGUCUGUAAUCCCAGCACUUUGGGAGGCCAAGGCAGGCAGAUCACCUGAGGUCAGGAGUUCGAGACCAGCCUGGCCAACAUGGUGAAACCCCAUCUCUACUAAAAAUAUAAAAAAUUAGCUGGGUGUGGUGGCACACACCUGUCAUCCCAGCUACUUGGGAGGCUGAGGCAGGAGAAUAAUUUGAACCUGGGAGGUAGAGGCUGCAGUCAACUGAGAUUGCACUACUGCACUCCAGCCUGGGCAACAGGGCGAGACUCCAUCUCAAAAAAAAAAAAAAAAGUUGAAGGAAGAGGAUUCUGGCAGAGCAUAGCCAAUAUAGCCAAUGCCAAGGCUCCAGGAUGGAAAUGAACUUGACCUAUUCAAGGAUCUGGUGGAGCCAGUUGGGCAGAACUAGACACAGGCCAGAUGGCACAGGGCCUUGCAGGCCACUGUGAGGGGUCUGGAUAGUUUCCCAGGUACGUCUCAAAUGAGACUGCCCUGGAAGGCUUUGAGGAAGGUAACACAGAUGUCACUGUCCUGGCAGCUGAGAAUGAAUUAAGUGGGGCAAGGAGAUCUGUUGCGAGGUCACUGCAGUGGUCCAGGAAAGAGGAAAUGGUGACUUGGACUGGAGUGGGGAGAGCUGGGGUGUGGCAGAGGAGGUAGGGAGAAGCGAACAGACUUAGGAUCAAUGAUAAGAUGUUUGGAUAGACAGGUAGGUAGCUGGAUGGGUGGGUGGGUAGGUGGAAUGUUUUCUCCUUCUCUGUUCUUGGGAGGGUCUCUUUCCAAGGCCCGGCUUAUUAUAUAAAUACUCUCAGUGUUUCACCUCGCCAAGCCUGUAUCAUCCUGAUGUCAGGGGAGGGUGGAAAGUGACCCAGGAAAAGUGUGAGGAGAAGCCAGAUUUGGAUCCCAGGAUGUUGGACUCCAAAGUCUGACCUCUUCCCAGCACACUUUAAGGCCUCUGAGAACUCUGGGAAGUGGGGUUGUGGCCUGGAGGGCUGAACUGGGCAUCACCUCCUGGUCCUGGAAGUCGCCGCAGUGUAGACUCCCUCUACCAGCAGGUGGGCGAUGCCCAUCUCUGUAUGUUUCUUCUUCCUGGAGAUUGUGCGGUCCAGGAUUUCUGCCACUUGCCAGAGGAGUCCUCGUGUCAACUGCCCGCUUAAGGUCCCAGCUGGACUCACCCCAAGCAGCCAUCUCACCACUCAGUGCAUCCACAUGUAAGAGAAGUAGGAGCCAUGGGAAUCUCUGCCCAGGAAUCUGUGAGAGGAACAGGGGUCAGAAGCCCAGCCCUCUGCCCGAUCUGAAACCUAAUACCAGUCCAGAGCCUCUCCGUUGGAGACAGGCAGGUGAGACAUGCCAGCUGCCACUGCCAGAGAGCCCUUCUGGCCACAGAGCGCAGCCUGGGCUGGGUGUGCUCCAGUCAGGUGUGCAUCAGAGCGGAUUGAACAGGUGGGAAUCAGAGAUGGUGGGCAGGGCUGGGGCCCCAGUUUGCGGAAAGGACAGGGUCAGAGACCUAAAGCGAGUGAGGCGGGAAUUGCCUCUGAGGCACGCCGAGGAAGGGCAAAUCAGCCUUGGCUGGGCUAAGGCUUCUGCUGGCUCCAGCCCCUCCGCGGACAGACCCUGCCCACCCAAGGGGCCGCCUGGUCUCACUUGUCCGGCUCCGAGCUGCGGAAGGCGCACGAAUCCUACGGCCGGCUGGGCACCUACUGCUGCAGAGGGUUGCGCAGGCGCAGGCGUCGCCGUGGCUCCGCCGAGCCCUCAGAGUCGGGGUUGGGCCGGGCCUGGGGUCAAGGGCAGGGUUACGGCCCCCUAGGGAGACUCCGCCCCUGGCGGACCCCGCCCCACCCCUCCACAUGAGACGGCGCGCGCAGGCUCAGUUCCUCGGCGUAGCACAGCGGCUCCCAGGCGCGCUCAGCUCGGCGAAGGGUGCGGCGCUAUGCCGGGGUACUCUCCUGGGCUGCUCUCCCAGGAGGAGAGGGAAGGACCCCUAAGCCCCUCCCCUCACGAUCUCGGCCGGGAGGUGACAGAUCCCUUUUUUUGUUGUUGUUUUGUUUUUUUGAGACAACAUCUCGCUGUUGCUGGAGUGCAGUGGCGCGAUCUUGGCUCACCACAACUUCCGCCUCCCGGAUUCAAGCGAUUUUCCUGCCUCAGCCUCCCGAGUAGCUGGGACUACAGGCGUGC
rnacentral:lncRNA from 10 species